rnacentral:rRNA from 1 species
UACGUAGGGUGCAAGCGUUGUCCGGAAUUACUGGGCGUAAAGAGUUCGUAGGCGGUUUGUCGCGUCGUUUGUGAAAACCAGCAGCUCAACUGCUGGCUUGCAGGCGAUACGGGCAGACUUGAGUACUGCAGGGGAGACUGGAAUUCCUGGUGUAGCGGUGGAAUGCGCAGAUAUCAGGAGGAACACCGGUGGCGAAGGCGGCUACCUGGACCGGUUCUGACGCUGAUGCGCGAAAGCGUGGGUAGCAAACAGG